GACAGAAUACGCUCGCCUCUAUUGGAGUUUUGGAGCAAUUGAAUACGCAAUGUCAAUAUUCGAUGAUCUCGAAAAGUUGCUCCACGAGUUUGUGCUCCGUUCCGGAGAGCCUGAAUCUCCGAAAUGGCUCGCCCAACUGCUCAACACAAAAAUCGACGAUCGUCCCACGUUGAUUUCCGGCGGCUUCUCAGUGCAACGAAUCUCGAAAUCAGAAGCUCAUUAUCUUGGAAUGAGGAAUUAUUUGUUGUGUCAACAAAUCAUUAUGUCCAUUCAUUUGUAUCAACAAAAAAUGAAAUCAAAUGAUGCGGCGCCAAGUUUGAGAUCAGAUUGUGCUGUUGGAAUUAUGCAGAGAGCUUUAAUUACUAUUGAAGCUGUCAAAGAAUUUAAUAAUUUGAUGAAUGUAAGACAUUUUUGACUGAAAAAUUGGAAAAAUAAUGAUUUUUUGGAGACUUUUGAAGCCAAAAACUCAGGGGUCUCCGCGGCAAAUGAUAUUUUUUCCCGGCAAAUCGGCAAAUUGCCGGAAUUGAAAAUGUCCGGCAAAUCGGCAAACCGGCAAUUUGCCAAUUAGAGGAUUUUUUGAAUAAAUGGAAAAAAUAACAAAUACUGUAUUAAAGGGGGAGUAGAGUUUGUGGGGAAAUAUAUGUUUCUGACUCUAAUUUUGCCCCUGAUGCCGAAUAUCGAUGUGAAAAAAUUCAAAAAAAUUUCCCUGAUUUUAUAUUAAUUUUUAAAAUCCGAAAAUUCAUUGGAUGCCUAUAUGUAAGUUUUCAAACGCUGAAUUUUCCCGCCAGAGACGCCCCGCCCACGAAACCGUGCCGCAGGUGUGGGUUUACGAGGUGAAUAUUUUCCUUCUAUUUUUAUUUGAUUUUAUACCGAUUUUCGUUGAUUUUUCUCAUUUUUUCGCUGUUUUAUAUUGAAAUUUUUAUUAUUUCUCUUAAAUUAUGCCUUUCUAUUGAUGAAAUACACAAAAUUCCAUGAAAAAUUCCAUUUUCAGCACAAAUUCGACGGGAAACGAGGAAAAUCGCGGAGACAGGACGAUUUUUUGGAAAGUGAGUACUUCUUAUAGAAAAUAUUAUUUAAAAAACAAUUGAAAAGUACGAAUAGCUAAAUAAUUAAGCCUAAAACAUCCUAAAAAUCAUCAGUAUGUCGAUUUAUUCGGCAAAUAUCUUACUAUCGUAAUAAAUUAAAUUAAACUUCCUAUUUUAAUCCUAGUGCUUAUCAAUAGUCUCUUUACAAAUCUCAAUAACGAAAGUUCUUUACAUUAAUACAAACAUUUAAAAUUUCAGUUAUCCGGAACACGUUGAUUCGUCGCGCUCCCGAGGACAAUCUUCGAUUUUUGUAGUUUUUUUUCCCAAAAAUGUUUUUUUUGUAAAGUUUAUUGAAUAUAAACAGUCUUAUAAUAAAUUUACUUGUUUUGUCUAAAAAACAAAAGCAUUACACACGAAUAAGUAAUAGAUUUAUUGUCCACGGUUGCCUCCACCUUGUUUCCCGUCGAAUUUGUGCUGAAAAUGGAAUUUUUAUGGAAUUUUGUGUAUUUUAUCAAUAGAAAGGCAUAAUUUAAGAGAAAUAACAAAAAUUUCAAUAUAAAACAGCGAAAAAAUGAGAAAAAUCGACGAAAAUCGGUAUAAAAUCAAAUAAAAAUAGAAGGAAAAUAUUCACCUCGUAAACCCACACCUGCGGCACGGUUUCGUGGGCGGGGCGUCUCUGGCGGGAAAAUUCAGCGUUUGAAAACUUACAUAUAGGCAUCCAAUGAAUUUUCGGAUUUUAAAAAUUAAUAUAAAAUCAGGGAAAUUUUUUUGAAUUUUUUCACAUCGAUAUUCGGCAUCAGGGGCAAAAUUAGAGUCAGAAACAUAUAUUUCCCCACAAACUCUACUCCCCCUUUAAUUAAAGAAAACUUUUCCGAAAUAAUACCUUAGUGAAUUUUUAACUCAUUUUUAACUUUUUUCGAUAAGGUAAUCACAAAAUUCUAAAAUUUUAAGUUCAAAAUAAACAUAUUUUUAAAAAACAUUAUUUUUGAAAUCUACUAUUAGAAAUCUGAUUGAAAAACGUCGACCUCCUUUUUUUCGUGGCGAGACCCAUCCGAAUAAAUGAAUAAAAUCUUGACUAAAACUUUACACAACACAUUUUUUAGUUUUCUGGAAACAUUUUCACUACAACUUGAAAAUAAAUUAUCCGACAAAAACUUUGAAAAAAUUUGCGAAAAAUCAUAAAUUUGAAAAAUAAAUUAAAGGUGGACUACACUCACCGGAAAAAUUGCUUUAAAACACGCCUAUGGCCGAAUAUCAUGAUAAAAAAAAUUCAAAAAAAUUUUAUAUGAUUUUUUGAAAAUUGAAAAAAUCUCAGUUUUUGCCUAAUUCCUAUUCGAAUUACCGCCAAUUGGAUUUGUUCGAUGGAGCGCGCUUGCACGUUUUUAAAUUUAUUUAUUUUAUUUUUUGUUAUUUUCCACCGAUUUUAAUGUUUUCGGUGUAUUUUUGCUUGAAUUUUUGAGAAGUCAAAAUAAAUGCAAAUUUUCGAUUAAAAAGCAAGCGUACAGGCGUAAAAAUGACAAAGUAACGAUUUUAAACGAUUUCGAACCUGAAAUAAUUAAUUUCACAAAUUUACGCCUGUACGCUUGUUUGCAUUUAUUUUGACUUUUUCUCAAAAAUUCAAGCAAAAAUACACCGAAAACAUUAAAAUCGUUGAAAAAAAAACAAAAAAUUAAAUAAAUAAAUUUAAAAACGUGCAAGCGCGCUCCAUCGAACAAAUCCAAUUGGCGGAAGUUCAAAUAGGAAUUAGGCAAAAACUGAGAUUUUUCAAUUUUCAAAAAAUCAUAUAAAAUUUAGAAAAAUUUUUAGAAUUUUUUUAAUCAUGAUAUUCGCCCAUAGGCGUGUUAAAGCAAUUUUUCCAGUGAGUGUAGUCCACCUUUAAUUUAUUUUUCAAAUUUAUGAUUUUUCGCAAAUUUUUUCAAAGUUUUUGUCAGAUAAUUUAUUUUCAAGUUGUAGUGAAAAAACGUUUCCAGAAAACUAAAAAAUGUGUUGUGUAAAAUUUUAGUCAAGAUUUUAUUCAUUUAUUCGGAUGGGUCUCGCCACGAAAAAAGGAGAGAGGAUCGACGUUUUUCAAUCAGAUUUCUAAUAGUAGAUUUCAAAAAUAAUGUGUUUUAAAUAAAUAUGUUUAUUUUGAACUUAAAAUUUUAGAAUUUUGUGAUGAAAAAAGUAAAAAAAAUGAGUUAAAAAUUCAAACUAAGGUAUUAUUUCAGAAAAGUCUUUUCAAUUAAUACAGUAUUUGUUAUUUUUUCCAUUUAUUCAAAAAAUCCUCUAAUUGGCAAAUUGCCGGGAAAAAAUAUCAAAAUAUCAUAAAAAAUAUCACACCCCUGAGUUUUAGGCUUCAAAAGUCUCCAAAAAAUCAUUAUUUUUCCAAUUUUUCAGUCAGUAUGUCUGUGAUUACCUUUAAACCUUGUGUAAAAAAACUUUCAAAAAAAAAUUCUAAAGUUGUUCUCUACUUUUCCAGAACAAGCGAGACAUUCCAUUAACAUGCUGUUGGACGUGGUGGACCGUCAGUGAAUCUCUAUCAAUAUGUCAAUUACUAUGUGAUGUAUCGCAUUUAAACGUCGCCCCUGUCAUUCUUUCACGACUACAUCUCGCCAGAUUCGAUGCAUUAUUUGUGCUGGCAAAACAGUUGAAAUUGAAUCCAGAAGACUCUGAAACACUUGGAAAAUGGCUGUUGAGUAUUAAGCCGAUUUCACUGGAAUCAAAGGUUUUGAGCUCGGCGAUCAAAUCGAAUGAACAAAUGUGCACGGAAAUGGAAAAGGUGCACGAUGUGUGUGUUGGCUCAUUGAAUCACGCAAAUCGACAUCGUUUUGUAUGGAAUAUCACUUAUAAACUAUUCAACUAUUUGAG
rnacentral:sRNA from 1 species